rnacentral:tRNA from 2 species
CAAGAUGUAGCUAUAACAUAAAGCAUUCAGCUUACACCUGAAAGAUAUCUGCCACAUACCAGAUCAUCUUGA